rnacentral:rRNA from 1 species
UGGGGAAUCUUGCACAAUGGGCGAAAGCCUGAUGCAGCGACGCCGCGUGCGGGAUGAAGGCCUUCGGGUUGUAAACCGCUUUCAGCAGGGACGAGGCCGCAAGGUGACGGUACCUGCAGAAGAAGCCCCGGCUAACUACGUGCCAGCAGCCGCGGUAAUACGUAGGGGGCAAGCGUUAUCCGGAUUUAUUGGGUUUAAAGGGAGCGUAGGCCGUUUGGUAAGCGUGUUGUGAAAUGUAGGAGCUCAACUUCUAGAUUGCAGCGCGAACUGUCAGACUUGAGUGCGCACAACGUAGGCGGAAUUCAUGGUGUAGCGGUGAAAUGCUUAGAUAUCAUGAAGAACUCCGAUUGCGAAGGCAGCUUACGGGAGCGCAACUGACGCUGAAGCUCGAAGGUGCGGGUAUCGAACAGG